AUACGGAGGAUCCGAGCGUUAUCCGGAUUUAUUGGGCGUAAAGCGAGCGCAGGCGGUUUUUUAAGUCUGAUGUGAAAGCCUUCGGCUCAACCGAAGAAGUGCAUCGGAAACUGGGAAACUUGAGUGCAGAAGAGGACAGUGGAACUCCAUGUGUAGCGGUGAAAUGCGUAGAUAUAUGGAAGAACACCAGUGGCGAAGGCGGCUGUCUGGUCUGUAACUGACGCUGAGGCUCGAAAGUAUGGGUAGC
rnacentral:rRNA from 1 species